UGAGGGGCAGAGAGCGAGACUUUU
rnacentral:ncRNA from 5 species